GUAACAAGGUUUCCGUAGGUGAACCUGCGGAAGGAUCAUUACUGAUUUGCUUAAUUGCACCACAUGUGUUUUUCUUUGAAACAAACUUGCUUUGGCGGUGGGCCCAGCCUGCCGCCAGAGGUCUAAACUUACAACCAAUUUUUUAUCAACUUGUCACACCAGAUUAUUACUAAUAGUCAAAACUUUCAACAACGGAUCUCUUGGUUCUCGCAUCGAUGAAGAACGCAGCGAAAUGCGAUACGUAAUAUGAAUUGCAGAUAUUCGUGAAUCAUCGAAUCUUUGAACGCACAUUGCGCCCUCUGGUAUUCCGGAGGGCAUGCCUGUUUGAGCGUCGUUUCUCCCUCAAACCGCUGGGUUUGGUGUUGAGCAAUACGACUUGGGUUUGCUUGAAAGACGGUAGUGGUAAGGCGGGAUCGCUUUGACAAUGGCUUAGGUCUAACCAAAAACAUUGCUUGCGGCGGUAACGUCUACCACGUAUAUCUUCAAACUUUGACCUCAAAUCAGGUAGGACUACCCGCUGAACUUAAGCAUAUCA
rnacentral:misc_RNA from 1 species